rnacentral:rRNA from 1 species
GAUGAACGCUGGCGGCGUGCCUAAUACAUGCAAGUCGAGCGAACAGACGAGGAGCUUGCUCCUCUGACGUUAGCGGCGGACGGGUGAGUAACACGUGGAUAACCUACCUAUAAGACUGGGAUAACUUCGGGAAACCGGAGCUAAUACCGGAUAACAUGUUGAACCGCAUGGUUCAACAGUGAAAGACGGUCUUGCUGUCACUUAUAGAUGGAUCCGCGCCGCAUUAGCUAGUUGGUAAGGUAACGGCUUACCAAGGCAACGAUGCGUAGCCGACCUGAGAGGGUGAUCGGCCACACUGGAACUGAGACACGGUCCAGACUCCUAGGGGAGGCAGCAGUAGGGAAUCUUCCGCAAUGGGCGAAAGCCUGACGGAGCAACGCCGCGUGAGUGAAGAAGGUCUUCGGAUCGUAAAACUCUGUUAUUAGGGAAGAACAAAUGUGUAAGUAACUAUGCACGUCUUGACGGUACCUAAUCAGAAAGCCACGGCUAACUACGUG